rnacentral:rRNA from 1 species
GAUGAACGCUGGCGGCGUGCCUAAUACAUGCAAGUCGAGCGAACAGACGAGGAGCUUGCUCCUCUGACGUUAGCGGCGGACGGGUGAGUAACACGUGUAUAACCUACCUAUAAUACUGGGAUAACUUCGGGAAACCGGAGCUAAUACCGGAUAAUAUAUUGAACCGCAUGGUUCAUUAGUGAAAUACGUUUUUUCUGUCUCUUAUAGAUGGUUCCUCGCCGCAUUAGCUAGUUGGUAAGGUAACGGCUUACCAAGGCAACGAUGCGUAGCCGACCUGAGAGGGUGAUCGGCAACACUGGAACUGAGACACGGACCAGAAAACUACGGGAGGCAGCAGUAGGGAAUAUUACGAAAUGGGCGAAAGCAUGACGGAGCAAAGCCGCGUGAGUGAUGAAGGUCUUCGGAUCGUAAAACACUGUUAGUAGGGAAGAAAAAAUGUGUAAGUAAAUAUGCACGUCUUGACGGUAACUAAACAGAAAGCAACGGCUAACUACGUG